rnacentral:rRNA from 1 species
CCUACGGGAGGCUGCAGUGGGGAAUAUUGCACAAUGGGGGAAACCCUGAUGCAGCAACGCCGCGUGAGUGAAGAAGCGCCUCGGCGCGUAAAGCCCUGUCAGCAGGGAAGAAAAUGACGGUACCUGAAGAAGAAGCCCCGGCUAACUACGUGCCAGCAGACGCGGUAAUACGGAGGGGGCAAGCGUGAGCCGGAUUGACUGGGUGGAAAGGGAGCGGAGACGGCGAUGCAAGCCAGGAGUGAAAGCCCCGGGCCCAACCCGGGGACUGCUCUUGGAACUGCGUGGCUAGAGUGCAGGAGGGGCAGGCGGAAUUCCUGGUGGAGCGGUGAAAUGCGUAGAUAUCAGGAGGAACACCGGUGGCGAAGGCGGCCAGCUGG